CCCACAGUGUACAGAACACCUCACUGCCCUGAGAUAAGAGUUAUGUCAGGAUGGGGGCACCCAAAGGGUAUAGAACACCUCACCGCCCUGAGAUAAUAGUAUUGGGGACAGAGCAUAAAAGUUAAACACAGUCAUCAUUACCAGUCGACUAGCUUUUUAGGCCUUGAGUGAAAUUGUAGGUGUAGUUCAUUCAUGAAUGAGUCUCUAUUAAUAAGUAUUUUACCAUGAUUGUUUACCAUACUUAGAAUUACAUAACGGGCCCCUUUUAUAUUUAUGAAGAAAAAUGCUUCAGUUAAAACUCAAGACAGUUCACAAUCACAGAUCUUAUGUAUUUAUAUGCUACACAGUUUGUGAUAAAUAACAAAGGUCACAGCUUUUAGUUAAAACAACUCUAAAAUCUACAGUGAAAAAUCCAAAAGAUAACAGGUCAAUCUUUAAACAGAUGCUGUAAAGCAAACUUGAAUCUAACCAAGGAAGGAAGGCCUUAUAAGCUUUACACAUUGUGUCACAAAUGUCCCUCAUUGUCUUCAUGCUGUAUUGGGUCCUAAAAGGUCAGCUUCUGACCUCAGGGUCAACAUCCUAAAGGCCACAGAAAUACUACGAUCUGAUUGGACCGUCGGAAACGCAUGCGCACCAUGCGGGCGGGACAAUUACAAAAAGUCGUUACGAGAUAUGAGAUCAGACAUGACUACGGGGUUUUACGUAUCGCUUUCUACGCUACAAAUGGCACAAGGAGUCUGCUAUGGUCGCUCAGCAAUUUGGGAGAGGCUUGUGAGUGUAGGGGGAAUAUGGUGUAAGCUCAAACGGACGGAAAAUUAUCGUGAAUGAUGUUUUAGUUGUACGUUUGGCGGCCGCCCCCCUCCCACCCUGGGUCUCCCCGCAGGAUCCAACGUGUACUUCGUACAGCUGCAGUAGAUACCUCCUUCAGACAUGCAGCACAAGUUGUGAGGGUGGAUAGCCAGAAGUAAAGCAAGCAUCAGCCAGACGUUUAGCUGCUGAGUACUUCAAUGCUGCUACACACUCCAUAGGAACUGACUCACCACACAAAGGACUCCAAACUCAUGCCAAGAAGUUCAGCAUUCAGACACAGAAGAAGGCAGCCUGUGCUUGUUUGGACCCUACACGGAGUGCUUCGCAGCAGUGGACUUGAAUAUAGAUGACAAGAGGAUGUCUGUACGCAGUUCCACAGAAUGUACUAGUAACUCAGGUGUUCACAGUUUGGCUGGACUUUAAAAGAUUACUCAUCUGUAUUUCAAUAUCUUUAUUGACAACAACUUUGUUCUUUUAUGUGAUUGCUGUUAACCUAAGGGCCACUAAAAUCUUCAUAGCUUUGAAGACUUCCAGUAUGAAGCAAAUUGUGUUUCACUGUUGUGUGAUUGUAUGAACCGUGUGAUUAUGAUACAUUUUACAUAAUUGUCAGAAUUACAUUGUACCUACACAGGUCCCAUACAAUAUGCUUGUACCUGCAUAUACAGGUGGUAUUUUGAGCCCUGACAUGCAUCUGACCCUCACCCUUCUCCAAAGGAAAUGGAUUUCUUAGCCAGAUCACUGGGUUGUUUUUAAUCUGUUAUGAACUUAUUAAUUCCCCAAUCUAUGAAGUUUCGAAAAUGAUGAAUUGUUGCUUGAAUAAACAUGUAGCAUCACAUGAUGCUAAUACUAGUAAUAGGAUCAUGUUGGUAAAGUGUAAAACAAUACAGGCCCCAUUAAAUGUUACAUAAGUCUUUCAUAGGUCAUUAAUGCACUGCA